GAAAUGCGAUAAGUAAUGUGAAUUGCAGAAUUCAGUGAAUCAUCGAAUCUUUGAACGCACAUUGCGCCCGUCAGCACUCUGGCGGGCAUGCCUGUUCGAGCGUCAUUUCAACCCUCAGAACCCCUUGCGGGAUCUGGCGUUGGGGAUUGGCAUCCAGCCAGCCCCGAAAUCUAGUGGCGGUCCCUCCGCGACCUCCCCUGUGCAGUAGCGAUACCUCGCAGCGGGACAGCGGUCUGACCACGCCGUAAAACCCCCAACUUCUCAAGGUUGACCUCGAAUCAGGUAGGAAUACCCGCUGAACUUAAGC
rnacentral:misc_RNA from 1 species